GUUUGAACUCUUGACCUCCAGGUUCUAAUGGAAUACCUUUACCGUUACAGUUGAAACAAAACGGUAAAAUUUCAGAGAUGCAUGUACCUUUAUGUGAGAGUAAGAUUUACAUGAGACUAGAAUUUGAGGUGGAUGAAGAAAAGUGAGAAUUUGAAGGAUAGUACGUAUAGUAGAAUUCUUAUAUGCAAUGUUGUUAAAGGUGUGCCUGAAGGCUCACAACGCUCCAAACUUGAUGCCACUAUAGGAGAAAGGUAGGCAACAUCUAUCUAACAGGCACUCGCUUUACAAGCUUAGGACUUAGGUACAUGCCUUAUUUUAGGCACAAGGCUCUAGAAAGGUACACCUUCUUUAUUUUUACCUCCAUCGAGCAUUUCUGUUGGCAAAAGAGACUACCACUAGACUCAAAAUUUGCAGAUCUACUACAAUAUAGUAUUAAUGCACUAGGAAGUCACCAGAAUUAAUGUCGCCGAUGAUAAAAAGUCACAGGAAUAUCAUCAAACUACCACAGACAAGAUCGCAAAUCACCAAUAUUUUUAUUUUCAAUACUCAUGCUCCAUUAGUGUCUCUCCUUGUACCUUAUUUCAAUGUUCUCUCAUUAUCUCUCUCAUCUGUAUAGCUUAAUGGACUUCUCAAUUUCUAGUUUAUCUAAAAUUGUAGCUAUAUGAAAAAGUACCAACAUAUUCACAAGAAGAAUGUAACAGAGAUGUGAAUGUUAAGAUGAAUAUCUGAUAUUACGAUAAUGGAAAAGAUUA
rnacentral:misc_RNA from 1 species